rnacentral:lncRNA from 1 species
CAGCAAUCUCAAACCAGAAGCAGGAGCCGUCGAACUACCCCAACGCUAACCACAGAUCUGUGUUGCAGAAGUUUUAUUCCAGACACCCACUUCCAAAAGGUCUGGAGCACCUUUCUCCUACUAGCACAAACUCUACCCUCUGCAUGGCAGAUUGAGAUUACUGGAUUGUGAUUUCCCCUGCCCAGCUCACUUGUGGAGUAGAAAUUCCAUACCAGGAAAGACAAAGGAAAAGACCAGGAUGACAUUACUUAUCCAGCACCUACACAUAGAGCAAAGAUGACCAUCUAUGACAAGACCAUGCCCUGCUCGGGAGAGAUUCUGCCAGUGGAAAGACAGUGCAUAAGGACUGCACAUGCUACAGUUCUGCCUGAUGGGACUCAUUAUUUGCAAAAGAGUGUGAAAAACUUCAUGCCUAAGGACAUUGAUUUUUUAAUGUUGAUAUAAUUUGGAUUUGUGUCCCUGCCCAAAUAACAUAUCAAAUUGUAAUCCCCAGUGUUGGAGGAGGGGUCUAGUGGGAGGUGAUUGGAUGAUGGGGCAUAUUUUUUCUUUGCUGUUCUCAGGAUAGUGCAUGAGUUCCCACAAGAUCUGAUUGUUUUAAAAGUGUACAGCAUGUCCUGCUUCAUUCUCUUCCUCCUGCUCCAGCCAGUAGAAUGUGCCUGCUUUCCCUUUGCCUUCUGCCAUGAUUGUAAGUUUCCUGAGGCCUCCCCACCCAUGCUUCCUGUACAGCCUGCAGAACAGUGAGCCAAUUAAAC